UCGUCGUGAAGAGGGAAACAACCCAGACCGCCAGCUAAGGUCCCAAAGUCAUAGUUAAGUGGGAAACGAAGUGGGAAGGCUUAGACAGCUAGGAUGUUGGCUUAGAAGCAGCCAUCAUUUAAAGAAAGCGUAAUAGCUCACUAGUCGAGUCGGCCUGCGCGGAAGAUGUAACGGGGCUAAAACUAUGCACCGAAGCUGCGGCAGUGCACGCAAGUGUAUUGGGUAGGGGAGCGUUCUGUAAGCCGUAGAAGGUGUGUUGUGAGGCAUGCUGGAGGUAUCAGAAGUGCGAAUGCUGACAUAAGUAACGAUAAAGCGGGUGAAAAGCCCGCUCGCCGGAAGACCAAGGGUUCCUGUCCAACGUUAAUCGGGGCAGGGUGAGUCGACCCCUAAGGAGAGGCCGAAGGGCGUAUCUGAUGGGAAACGGGUUAAUAUUCCCGUACUGUGUAUAACUGCGAUGGGGGGACGAAGAAGGCUAGGUUUACCACCUAUUGGAUGGUGGGUUAAGCGUGUAGGGGUGUGAUUAGGCAAAUCCGGUCACUAAAACUCUAAGGCGUGAUGACGAGCUGCUAAGGCAGUGAAGUAAUUGAUGCCCUGCUUCCAGGAAAAUCCUCUAAGCUAUAGGUUAUAUGCAAUCGUACCCGAAACCGACACAGGUGGUCAGGUAGAGAAUACUCAGGCGCUUGAGAGAACUCGGGUGAAGGAACUAGGCAAAAUGGUGCCGUAACUUCGGGAGAAGGCACGCUGAUGUUAAUUGAAGUCCCACGCGGAUGGAGGUGAAAUCAGUCGAAGAUACCAGCUGGCUGCAACUGUUUAAUAAAAACACAGCACUGUGCAAACACGAAAGUGGACGUAUACGGUGUGACGCCUGCCCGGUGCUGGAAGGUUAAUU
rnacentral:rRNA from 1 species